UGGAAGGUUCAAAGAGCAGCUGCCAGGUCAAGGGCACCCCUGAAGAGAAGAAGUCGGGCUGUAGUUGGCAACCCCAGCCUUUCCCUACCUGCCCGCCACACACUCAUGUUCUGGCAACCCGGGGAACUGCCAGGCAGCUGGGAGCCCUCUGCACAGCAGCCCUCAGGGCCAGCGAGUGUGUCCUUGGUGGUGUUACCAGGAACUGCCCUUUCAAAGGAAGGAGUCGCUAUCCUGCUGGGCUUGGCGCAGAAGUGUGGGGAAGAGGGAAGGCAUGUAACUUACCUGCCUAUGAGGGAUGGAGGCAUUAGAGGACCUGGUCCCUUCCAGGCCCCAGACUCAUCUCUCACUUUGUCUGCGAAAAGGAGGAUGCUGCUUCUUCAUUGGAUGAGCUUUAAGACUUCAACAGACCUGCAGGCCCAGCCUGCCUCCUACUCUGGGAACAGUCCUGACUCACUGGAGGGGUUUAGGGGCUCACUAAUGGCUGACAUCAGUGGAUAUAUCACAUGCCAGGUAAUUCUCUUUACAUUUUGUCUAUUAUCUCCCUCCAUCCUCUUUCCGUGGUAAGCACUGCAAUGAUUAUACUGAAGCAGAGAAGGCCUCUCCCAAGAUCACACGGGUAGCAAGUGGUAGAGCCAAGAUUCACCUCAGGAAGUCCUAUCCCAGAACCCUGUGGAAACCUGUCUGCUGAAGAGCUUCCCUCCCUGACCCAUGCCAGCCUCCUGGGUCACCCCUGCCCUCUUCUACUCUGAGCAUCCAGGUGUGAGAAACUACUUUUCACUCUUGCCUCUGGGUCUUUGCACAUGCUGUUCCUUCUUUCCCAGAGUACCUUCCUUCCCUUCCUUUACUUGAACAACUUUAACUUAUUGUUUGGAGCACAUGCCCCCUGGGAAAGCACUUCCUGAGUCUGAGUCUGAACUGGUGUCCUCACUCUGAGCUCCUGAAGUGCUUCCUGGCUCUGUACUGGAAUUGCCUUUUGGCACUGGUCUGUUGCUGUUAGUGUGAACACUGUGUACAUUUCACUCUGUAUUGCUCUUGCUCACUAUUGUGCCCUGAGUGGUUAGCACAGUGUCCACUUUCAUGCUGGGUGGAGAAUAAGUUCCUGAACGACUGCUCCGUACCAUGUGGCUGACUGUACCUGCCUUUAUGGGGGUUACGUGUCAUGAGGCCACUGAGGCAGGCUUCCAGGGUGAGACCGAGAAGAUGGUGCCAGUGAGAGAGCAGAAGGGAGGGGGCCCACCAUUUGCUAAGCCCUUGAAGUGUAUUGUACAUGAUCACCCCAGGGGCCAUGACCAGGAGACUGGCUGGGACCACCCAGCAGCUGACAACAUCCAGUGAUGGUCCCCCCUGAUUGACUAGGCUCCCCGCCUCUGCAGGAUGGGGAGGGAAGAACAUUCCAAAGGCAACUUGACAGAAAAGGGAGAAAGGGCUCUCAGCUUCCUUUGCAGCUAAUGCACUGGUUUUUGCUGGCAUGCUGUAUUUUUUAAUUUAGCUCGGUGCUGGAAGAGCUUGUCCAGUUGAAUAAGCAGGGGAAAACUCAUGGCCUGAGUCAAUCACAGACCACAUCAAACAAAGCAUGACUUUCAACCCAGGGGAGAUUUUUGUCUUUCCUGGCAGGGACAGCAGCCAUGAGAAUUACAAAGGAUUUUGGUCAAGGGAAUGCAAUGAACAUUCUGUUCUGGAAGUCCUGGGGCCCUGAAUAGCUUGGAGGAGAGACAGCAAAUGCAUUGCUCAAGGUCACAACCAUGUUUCUCUCUGGCUUAGUGUCAGGAGGGCCCUAGGAGGCUUUAUAGGUCAGUGCAGGUUAUUGGAAGGACAGUGUUCCCACAAGCAUCCUGACCCCCAGUCCAGAGCUCUUACUACCCCCCCAGUUAAAAGUACCCUCCACCACUGAGGUGCCUUCAGAAUGUCAUCUUUCACCUGGGACUGGAGAGGUGCUCUGUAUCACCCAUACAACCUCUUCAGACUCAAGGUCAAGCCCUGCCUCUCAGCAAGGGAGCAUCAUGGGCCUUUGAUGUAAAGGCCAUCCAUAUGGCAUUUUGAGUUUACUGAGUAGCAGCUGAGAUCCACUUGCAAAAUUAUUUCAAGAACCUAAUUGGAUGGGCCUCAUACCCCAUUUUCACAAAAUCUUUCCAUAAACAAUUAACUGAUGAUGUAAAAUGAAAAUGUUGCCUGUUGGCUGUUGCCCACGUUACAAGUCACCUGUACUGCUUGAAUGAAGGUCACAAUGUCGCUAUUAACAUUUGGGACUUGGAUCUCCUAAGUUUGCUCUUUGAAUAUUUGAGUAAAUAAUCUUCAUUUUUUAAAAAUAUUUUUUAUUGAGGUAUAAUUUAUACAGAGUGAAACACUCAAAUCUAGCCUAUAGUGUUUGAUGAGUUUUGACAAAUAUAUACACAGUGGAACCACCACACCAAUCAAAGACAUAAAACAUUUCUAUUACCUAGAAAUCUCCCUCUUGCCCUUUUCCAAUCAAUCUCAACUGUUCUGACUUCUAUCACUGUAGAUUGGUUUUGUCUCCAUAGUGUCUAUUAUGGAUUGAAUAUGUGUCCCUGUAAAAUUUGUAAGUUGAAAUCUUAACCCCAGGGUGGUUAUACUAGGAGACAGGGCCUUUGGGAAGGCACUGGGGGGUGAGAGUGGAGCCCUUAUGAAUGAGAUUGGUGCCCUUUUAAAUUAAAGGGAUCCCAGAGAGAUCCUGCCCCUCUCCCACCAUGUGAGGACACAGCAAGAAGACGACUCUCUAUGAACCAAGGAGCACAUUCCGACCAGACAUAGAACCUGCCAGUGCCUUGAUCUUGGACUUUCCACCCUCCAGAAUGAUUCUGUCUUACCCCAGGAAAAAUGAACAGGCCUUCCUGGGAUUUGAGGAUCAACCUGUCUGGGCUUUUUCUCUCUGCUAGCUGUAUCAUCAAGCCACAUUGUACAAGAAAGCCACCUGAGAAAGCUUUGUGUUCAGGAGGUUAAACCAGAGGAAGGGGUCUGACUCUGAGCGGACCCCUAGGAACUGGAGCAAAGGGGUCUGACCGCAGCUGUUCCCUCAUGGAGGAGCCCUAAAGCCCUGGGGUGUCCUGCUUCUCUUGACAAGACCUCAGAGGAAGAGGCUACAGGAUAGCUGGUGAGGCCAGGAAUGAGGAAUCAUGGCCAAGGAAACGUACUUGAGAGGCUGGACGAGCAUAGUCCCUACCAGGAAAGUGGGCCCAUCGGAGGGGAAAGCUCAAGCAGGAGACUGCAUUUGUCGAACAGCAGCAUUAAGCAGGUUCCUGGGAGGGCCCAGGAGACCAAGCCGCAGACGCUGCCUUUCCCAGCAAUGUCACUGUCCUCUGUCCUCAGUGAUGAAUCAUUGUUCAGCAUCCUUGAGAUCCUUCCUGUACUAGAGUUUUAUACUCACACCCUUGGCCCCGUGACUUUGCAGUGCUAUCCAUUAGUGUGUGUGGAGGGGGCCUCCCACCCCCGGCGCGGUGGCAUGGCCAUGCAACUGGCUUCCGUCAACAGAGUGCAGACAAGAAUGACUCCAGGGGUCUCCAGAGGCAUCAAGUUUCUCAGUUCAACUUCUGGUGCUCCUGCCAUUUGCUGGGCAAAGAACAUGCCUAGGAGAGCUGGUCCAAGGCAAAUGUGGAGACGAGUGGAUAUUAGCCGACUUGAAGCCUUAAUCCUAGCCGGGCAGACCUGUAGCCUCAAGCAGUUUUCCCAGACAACCUACAGGCCUGAAAGCAAGAAAAAGAAAUGCUCUUCUUUGUAUGCCAUCAAGGUUUGGUGUGGUUUGUGAUGCAGAAUUAUUAAAGCAUUUGCUGACUGAUGUGUGCACUAAUACCAUUCUCCCCUCUUUUGUAAUAAUGUAAAUCCCAACGUUUAACAGGCUGUUUGGAAUAAGGCUAAGUUCCCCAGCCUUCCUUGCAGCUAAGUGUGGCCACGUUACUGAGGUCUGGUUAAUGAGGUGUUAGUAGAAGUGUUGUAGGGUAGUUUCCAAGACCCUCCCCGAAGGCCUGUGGCAUGAAGUAUUCAUCCUUUCCUGCAUCCUGCUAUCUGGAACAAGGAUAUGAUGGAUGGAGCUGUAGCUGACAUUUUGGCUCCUGAGAUAGGCCAUAUCCCUAAGAAGAUGGGGUGGUAAAUCACCUGGACUAUUCUGUGAGAGAGAAAUACAUAAAUUGUGUUCUUUCUUUAAGCUUCUUUAUCUCUAAAAUUCCCCUACUGAGCUUACUCUUGACAGUUCUCAAGACAGUUUUUACUAAAUCUGAUAACUAAUUAUGACGUUACUUUGAAGCAGAGUGUCCUGUAGCCACGAUCAACUGUUAAUACUAAUCAACUGUUUGAUACUAACCAAAAUGGAUACACACUAAACAGUUAAAAAUACAUCUCCUGGGAAGGAGGAUGGGGUGGGGGUAGGGAGGGUGACUGAUAAUGGAUAUGGGUUCUUUUGGAGGGAAUACAAAUGUUCUAAUAUGAGAUAGUGGCGAUGGCCACACAACUCUGUGAAUAUGUGAAAACCAACAGAAGUGUAUACUUUUACAAGGUUCAGUCUCAUGGUAUGUAGUUAUAUCUCAAUAAACAUAAAAAUCA